UUCGCAAUGCCCGAAAGGGUGACGAAGCGACGCCGCGUGUGGGAAGAAGGCCUUCGGGUUGUAAACCACUGUCGGGAGUUAGGGAAUGUAAGGGUGUUAAUAGUAUCCUUACUUGACUAAGGCUCCGGAGGAAGCCACGGCUAACUCUGUGCCAGCAGCCGCGGUAAUACAGAGGCGGCAAGCGUUGUUCGGAAUUAUUGGGCGUAAAGAGCACGUAGGCGGCCUUGCAAGUCAGUUGUGAAAGCCUUCUGCUUAACGGAAGAACAGCAGCUGAUACUGCAAGGCUAGAGUGCGGAAGGGGAGAGUGGAACUUCUGGUGGAGCGGUGAAAUGCGUAGAUAUCAGAAGGAACACCGGCGGCGAAGGCGACUCUCUGGUCCGUAACUGGCGCUGAGUGUGCGAAAGCUAGGGGAGCAAACGGGAUUAGAUACCCCGGUAGUCCUAGCCGUAAACGAUGGGCACUAAGUAGAGGGGUUUU
rnacentral:rRNA from 1 species